rnacentral:rRNA from 1 species
UACGGAGGGUGCAAGCGUUAAUCGGAAUUACUGGGCGUAAAGCGCGCGUAGGUGGUUUGUUAAGUUGGAUGUGAAAUCCCCGGGCUCAACCUGGGAACUGCAUUCAAAACUGACAAGCUAGAGUAUGGUAGAGGGUGGUGGAAUUUCCUGUGUAGCGGUGAAAUGCGUAGAUAUAGGAAGGAACACCAGUGGCGAAAGGCGACCACCUGGGCCGAUACUGACGCUGAGGAGCGAAAGCGUGGGGAGCGAACGGG